CCAGCUAGGCUAGUGGGAUUGCCUCGUCGUCCAGCUUCGCGAGUCUGCGCUGGCGUAGGGAAGACUAUGAACACAUCGUUGACACCGGAGCGCAAGGCGCACAACAGUCUCCUGCUCCUCCCGUGGUGUGGGAUCUGUGGCAUGAGCCGACGACGUUGGCUACCCUUCCUCCUCCUCCUCCUCCUGUGCUGCCGGUAUAUUGUCUGUUGCUGCCGGUGUAGACCUAGCCAUGGGGAAUACCGGAGAUCAUCGAUUCGCCGUCGCCGACGACUUAGCCCCCGUCCCCCGCAUCGUCAUAUGUCCAACUACGACCCCCCACGGCGGCAACAUCGUCCGCGUACCUGGUGGUGGUGGUCGACCACGCGCUCUGGGGCCUCAACCUCGGCCACCAGUCCGACCCACAGCGGCCUCCUCAGCGCCGCGGGGUGGGUGCUCGACCUCCUCCGAGGCUUGCUGGACUGGUACUCGGGCUACAUACUCACCUCUCUCGUCGCUCGUCGUGCUCAACCUCGACAAGCAUCAGGUGCAUGUCUCUCAACCACGCUGUAAUCAAUCUGUCAUGCCUCUGCGUCAAAUUCAGUACUGCACUAGAAUUUACACCAACUGGUGCUUGAACUUUUCCAAAUUGCUACUACUGUCAGACUACAUACUCUGUUGAAACAUCCAAAGUGGCUAUGUGCACCAGGCUGGAUGUAGCGCGUCGUGGAAAGGAAAAGUUUCUCACAUAUUGUUAAUGGAUAAUGGCAGAGGUUCUCACAUAUUCCAGACGUAGAGAGAGCGAAUUACUUGCUCCAUUUUGUUCCGAUAACUUGCUCCUCUGGGAUCCAUCAGAGAAGUAUGCAACCCGGCGCUCUCAUGCCACCGUAUGCUUUGCUAAUAUUAUACUACUUCUUCAGUCGUCUAAUAAGUCAAAUAUACCAUCGAAAUAUACUAUAACUUCAUGGCUCAAGUCUCUGAUGGAAAUAUAAUAGCAGCCCGGACAUGUUAAUUUGAAGUAAAAAGAUGCAUUUAAUUGUUAUUAACUGUCAACCAGGGGUCUGUGGUCUUGUUCCCACAAAAGAAAAACAGGGCAUCUCUCUUACAUAGGAUAAUCUAAAAACAUAAGAUUUUCUUCAAAAGUAUCAGACGUGUGGUAAUUUGAUAAGAUAGAUCCUGUCUCCAAAAGGAUCUUCAUUCAACUUCGAGUUACCCACUAUAAAGGGUGUGCCAGGAUAGAUUGCAUGCAAACUUUGUAAGCAACUGCCUUUGCUAGUUAUUUCUUCUGUUGGGUUAUUGCUCUGUGCUUUUGUAAAAUGACUUGAGGAUUAAAUAGCUUAAGUUCUGCUGUUGCUAGACCAAAUAAUUAAAAUGGGUUGUAGCUCUUUGGCACAAGAUGAUGCCUGUUUUAAUGAUAGAGGAAGCAUCGUACUUUGAAGUUUGAUCUACCUCAGAUCUGGAACAUUGAAUUAGAAGGCUUUCUUGUUCUUCUGCACCCGCAUAGUGCUGUUUUUCUGAUCUUCGUUUUUGCAUGAUGCGGAUCCUACAUAUUUCCUCAAAAUGUUGCUUACAGUAAGAAAUGUUUUAAUCUGAUUAUUAUUUAGCAACUCCAAAAAUGGCAACAAGAUUGGCUUCCUGUUGACCAAAAACAGUUCUUGCUAAACUGGCUUCCAUAACUCACAGGGAUGGCCUUUGAGGAUUGGAUCUCUUUCCACUGCCUUUUAGCUAUGUCACAUUGCUCAAGGUCGCAAAUAUCACUAGUGGUGGGUGGUCUCAGGUGGUAAAAGAUGGUCGAGUUAUAUAAGUUUCUUUAUUCUGCAUCUGUGUGAGACCAAUGAUUUAAAUGAAAAUAGUGGAAGAUCAGGGUUCAGCUAGAGUGCCUGACGAGAACUCUGUCAUCUAUUUUUCUCCAAGUAUGGUUUGCGAAUCUGGAUGAAAUUACUGAAGGGUGUGAUCUGACCUGGAAAUUGUUCAUCAUUAAAGAUGUGCCCUCCCUGGACGAGCUAUACUUGACAGUGUGCGGUCACCUGUGUAAAAUGGAAGUGAAUGAGGAGAGCACUCUUGUUUAGUGAGAAGGUGCAGAAUGUAAUCUUUGGUUAUCUAUUCUACAACACCACAGCCUGCCUCUGGCAUUCAUUAUGAGAAGUUCACGGUGAAGCUAGAGGAUGUGUUCCGGCAUCAUAGCCGGGCGUGUAAGAGUGCCACACUGCCACCGAAGCCGUUCAGGUCUGUGGACCAAGGGGCAGAGGUCUUCAGGGAAGAAUAGAAUGACAGACGGGUAGCAAAUCUUUGAUGCUUCGCUCUUCACUCGAGACCGGAAUCAUGAUAGAUUUUGAAGCGGAGGGUUAAAAAAAGGCUCUGCAACUCGGUUAUCUGAAUCCCUGAAAAGAAAUAUCUGCAACUCUGCAAGAUGAUGGGUGGAUUCACCAUAUGAAGACUCAAGAAGCACCCUUGGAACAUUGUACAUUCAAGGUAAUCACACUCACAGUGCUGCCCAUGUAGCAAGUACAGCAGCUUCAGCCUUCAGGUCAUACAUCUAAACACGAGGUGUCGGGCUCCUGGAACUCUGAGUGCAGCUACAGAAUUCAAAGCAGUUCGGGGAUUCAGGUUUCCAUCCUUGCAGCUCAUAUGUGAUGUCUAAGAUUUAGGGUCAACCAGGGUGCUUGACAAAAAGUGCGGCAUCUUUUUUUUUCUCCCACUAAGGUUUGCGAAUCUAAAUGAAAUUACUGAAGGGUAUGACCUCGCCUGAAUAUUGUUCAUCCUUGAAGCUGCUCCCUCGCCAGAAGGACCUUUAGUUUGACAGUGUGCGUUCUGGGAUCGGCUGCGUAAAAGGGAAACGGAUGAUGAAGAGAAGAGGAUCUUGCAAAGAUGAAGUUUUUGGUGUCUUCAGCUUAAGGUAUUUUGUCACUCGGUUGUGCCACGAGCAACGACAGCCAUGCACACAAGAUGACUGGGCUUGGGUCCAUGGGCUUGGGUCCAUGGGCCGUGACUGGGCUGGUGGCUACAAAACCAGCGAUGUACAACAAGAUGGCUGGCUGGGCGUCGUGUCGAACAGGAAGAACUGAACCUGUCUCCUUCCUCUGUCCUCCUUCUGUUCUUCUCUGGAUCUUCUUCGUCCUCAAGGGUGUAGAUACUCUCUACAGGCGGCAUGUAUCCAUCUCACGUCCCGGCGAUUGUUGAACGCACUGCUGCUACUGUUGUAACUUCCCCUCCUUCUCUCUAGCUUGGACCUAGUCCCACGCCUCGCACGCCUCUGCGUGGGCCUCUGCGCAUGGCACACGAUCCCCUCUGUACUGUAUAAGACCCUUGCGUCAGUUA